rnacentral:lncRNA from 1 species
UCGGAAGAUAGUAAAACUACCCAAUGAAACCGGAGUAAAAGUUCACUCAAAAUGAGCUGUUGUCAGGUCGGACGAAGCAAUUUAAAGGGAUUUAAACGUCGGUCGACAGUAAUCAGCUGUGACUAG